GCUUGUCUCAAAGAUUAAGCCAUGCAUGUCUCAGCAUAAGCUUCAACACGGUGAAACUGCAAAUGGCUCAUUAAAGCAGUUACAAUUUAUUUGAUGGUCACUGUUACAUGGAUAACUGUGGUAAUUCUAGAGCUAAUACAUGCAUCAAAACCUGACUCUUGGGAAGGGUUGUGUUUAUUAGGUACAGAACCAAUGCAAGCUCCGCUUGACCUUUUGGUGAUUCAUGGUAACCGAACGAAUCGCACGGCACCAGCUGGCGAUGGACCAUUUCGAGGGAGCCUGAGAAACGGCUACCACAUCCAAGGAAGGCAGCAGG
rnacentral:rRNA from 1 species